rnacentral:tRNA from 1 species
GCAGAAGUACUCAAGUGGUGAAGAGGCGCCCCUGCUAAGGGUGUAGGUCGGGUGACCGGCGCGAGAGUUCAAAUCUCUCCUUCUGCGCCA